UACGGAAGAUGCGAGCGUUAUCCGGAUUUAUUGGGUUUAAAGGGAGCGUAGGCGGAUUGUUAAGUCUGCGGUAAAAUGUCGAUGCUCAACGUCGGCCUGCCGUGGAAACUGGCGAUCUUGAAUGUGCACAAGGAAGGUGGAAUUCGUGGUGUAGCGGUGAAAUGCUUAGAUAUCACGAAGAACUCCGAUUGCGAAGGCAUCCUUCUGGGGCAUGAUUGACGCUGAGGCUCGAAAGCGCGGGUAUCAAACA
rnacentral:rRNA from 1 species